CCAAAGGCUCUUUUCAGAGCCCCCCAACUCUCAUCAGUGAAGAGCUG
rfam:Myotis lucifugus cont2.52709, whole genome shotgun sequence.